rnacentral:rRNA from 1 species
ACGGAAGGCAGCAGUGAGGAAUAUUGGUCAAUGGGCGAGAGCCUGAACCAGCCAAGUAGCGUGUAGGAAGACUGCCCUAUGGGUUGUAAACUACUUUUGUUCGGGAACAAAGAGGGGCUCGCGAGCCCCGUUGCGUGUACCGUUCGAAUAAGCAUCGGCUAAUUCCGUGCCAGCAGCCGCGGUAAUACGGAAGAUGCGAGCGUUAUCCGGAUUUAUUGGGUUUAAAGGGAGCGUAGGCGGACUUGUAAGUCAGCUGUGAAAGUCUGCGGCUCAACCGUAGAAUUGCAGUUGAUACUGCUGGUCUUGAGUAUGCAUAAGGAUGGUGGAAUUUGUGGUGUAGCGGUGAAAUGCUUAGAUAUCACGAAGAACUCCGAUUGCGAAGGCAGCCAUCUGGGGCAUCACUGACGCUGAGGCUCGAAAGUGCGGGUAUCAAACAGGAUUAGAUACCCUGGUA